rnacentral:misc_RNA from 1 species
GAAAUGCGAUAAGUAAUGUGAAUUGCAGAAUUAGUGAAUCAUCGAAUCUUUGAACGCACCUUGCGCUCCUUGGUAUUCCUUGGAGCAUGCCUGUUUGAGUAUCAUGAAAUCUUCAAAGUAAAUCUUUUGUUAACUCAAUUGGUUUCUACUUUGGUAUUGGAGGUCUUUGCAGCUUCACACCUGCUCCUCUUUGUUCAUUAGCUGGAUCUCAGUGUUAUGCUUGGUUCCACUCGGCGUGAUAAGUUAUCUAUCGCUGAGGACACUGUAAAAGGUGGCCAAGGUAAAUGCAGAUGAACCGCUUCUAAUAGUCCAUUGACUUGGACAAUACUUUUAUGAUCUGAUCUCAAAUCAGGUAGGACUACCCGCUGAACUUAAGC